rnacentral:lncRNA from 1 species
UCAUAACCGAUUCCUCCCUUGGUUCACUGCGAUCUGAAACCAAGCAAUAUCCUUUUGAAUGAUGAAUCCUUUAGUGACUUUGGACUUGCAAAGUUUCUUCAGAACAACAUUAUAAGCCUGGGUGAUGCAUCAAGCACUACCAGACUGAGAGGGUCAAUCGGAUACAUUGCACCAGAGUAUGGCUUGGGGUGCAAAAUUUCAAUAGAGGAUGAUGUAUAUAGUUAUGGAAUUAUUGUUCCAGAGAUAAUCAUAGGAAAGCGCCCUAACUUCACAGCUUUGUGGAGUGAAGACCCAAAUCAUGCUGUGGUUGAAAUGCAAACAUCCAUAGAAUUGGAUAAGCUUGGGCUAAAGUGCACAGAGCCAUCACCAAAGGAUCGUUCAACAAUGUGCGAUGUUUACGCUGAGAUCAUUUUUACAUCAAAGAGAAAUAUUAUGCACUCAUCAACUGGGGAAAUGGAUGGAUACUGCUGA